UACUCAGGAACACGUAUCUUGAAGGUUGG
rnacentral:piRNA from 1 species